rnacentral:rRNA from 1 species
AUUGAACGCUGGCGGCGUGCUUAACACAUGCAAGUCGAUCGGUAACGCGGGGGCAACCCUGGCGACGAGAGGCGGACGGGUGAGGAACGCUUGGGAAUCUGCCUAUCAGCGGGGGACAACACGGGGAAACUCGUGCUAAUACCGCAUACGCUCUACGGAGGAAAGCCGGGGACCGCAAGGCCUGGCACUGAUAGAUGAGCCCAAGCCGGAUUAGCUAGUUGGCGGGGUAACGGCCCACCAAGGCGACGAUCCGUAGCUGGUCUGAGAGGACGAGCAGGCACACUGGGACUGAGACAGGGCCCAGACUCCUACGGGAGGCAGCAGGGUGGAAUAUUGGAGAAUGGGGGAAACCCUGAUCCAGCGACGCCGCGUGGGUGAAGAAGGCCUGCGGGUUGUAAAGCCCUUUCGGUAGGGACGAAAGCUCUCGACCUAACACGUCGGGAGGUUGACUUAACCUACAAAAGAAGCACCGGCUAACUCUGUGCCAGCCGCCGCCGUAACAC